AAACGUAGGGGGCGAGCGUUGUCCGGAAUUACUGGGCGUAAAGGGUGCGUAGGCGGCCGAUUAAGUCAGAUGUGAAAUACCAGGGCUCAACCCUGGGGGUGCAUUUGAAACUGGUUGGCUUGAGUGCAGGAGAGGAAAGCGGAAUUCCUAGUGUAGCGGUGAAAUGCGUAGAGAUUAGGAGGAACACCAGUGGCGAAGGCGGCUUUCUGGACUGUAACUGACGCUGAGGCACGAAAGCGUGGGGAGCAAACAGGAUUAGAUACCCUGGUAGUCCACGCCGUAAACGAUGGAUACUAGGUGUAGGGGGUAUCAUGCCCUCUGUGCCGGAGUUAACGCAAUAAGUAUCCCGCCUGGGGAGUACGGCCGCAAGGUUGAA
rnacentral:rRNA from 1 species